GGCUUUUUCUUCUCUCUCCCUUAUCCUUUUCUGCUUCAUCUUCAUAUCAUUCGCCAUCUCCGACGCCGUUGUUCCCCCCGCCGACACUUUUCGGUAUGUCAACCAAGGCGAUUUUGGAGAACUCGAUUCCGAAUACGCCCCAACCUAUCGUCCUCUUCCUCCAUACACCUCCCCUUUCCAGCUCUGUUUCUACAAUACCACCCCCGGCGUCUACACUCUUAGUCUCCGCAUGGGAACCGGACGUGAUGAAGCGGUCAUGCCAUGGGUGUGGGAUGCCAACAGAGGCAACCCAGUUGGCGAAAACGCCACCUUCUCAUUAGCCUCCGACGGAAACCUUGUACUCGCCGACGGAGAUGGACGGAUCGCAUGGCAAACCAACACCGCCAACAAGGGUGUCGUCGGUUUUGCCAUACUCUCCACCGGUAACAUCGUGCUUCGUGACUCCAAGGGUGGUUUCGUCUGGCAAAGCUUUGAUUCACCUACUGAUACGCUUAUGUUUGGUCAAUCUCUCCGGAUCGGAGGUCCAACGAAGCUCGUCAGCAGAGCUUCAACGACGAACAACGUAAACGGAGCGUAUAGUUUCGUGAUAGAGCCAAAAAGAUUGGGUUUGUAUUAUAAGAACAUGCUUUAUUGGUCUUCCACGUUUCCAUUGUUUCCGGAAUUGAACCAACCAAAUGUGACUAUUGUUAAUGCGACAUUCGCCAUCGUGGAAACCGAAUACAAUAACGACUUUAACGCAAUUAGGUGUCAUCUUUCAAACUCUAAUGCUCAACCUUUUUUGGACAUGGACAUACUCCGAUUCAAUAACACGUUAUCCUAUAUCCGAUUAGGCAUCGAUGGGAACUUACGACUCUACUCUUAUCGUCCUCCGAAUAUCCGUUUUAGCCAAUGGCGUAUCGUGUUCAGAUUGUUCGAUAAUAUGGAGACCACGAGGCGGGGUUUAUAUGAAGACGAGUGCCAACUGCCUGAACGCUGCGGCAAGUUUGGGCUGUGUGAGGACAGCCAGUGUGUUGGGUGUCCGUCGCCGGAGGGUGUUUUUGCGUGGAGCAAAAACUGCAAUGCGAAGACGCCGUCUUGUAAAGCGGGUGGUUCUCGUUACUACCAGCUGAAAGGAGUCGACCAUUUCACUUCUAAAUACUCUCCGGGGAGUGGGCCGAUGAAACAGAAAGAUUGCGAGAGUAAAUGCACAAAGGACUGUAAGUGUAUGGGGUAUUUCUAUCGCACUGAUCUAUCGAGGUGUUGGAUCGCUAACGAGUUAAAAACUUUGACGAGGGUUGGGAACUCGACUCAUUUGGCGUACAUCAAAACACCCAUCCAGUAGUUGGAUAAGUCUACUAGGAAAGAGGGAAUAAGGAAGAUGAAAGAUUUGAAGAAAUAGCACUGUUUACUUGCUUUUCUAUAUUUUUACCUUCCAUUGUCUGUUUGUAUCGAAAUCAAAGAGACUAUGUGGUUGUAUAUUUUUUAAGAUGUAAAACGCUUCGGUAUGCAUAACACAUUUGCAGUAGAAUAAAUGUGUUUACAGUCUACAAGUGGACAAAAUAUUUACAGUUUAAAUAAAGUUUUUUUAAUAAUUAUAAAAAAUAAAAUUAAAAAUUGUUUCAAUAAUUACAAGAACGUAUAAACUGCAAAAUAUGAUUAUCUUGCGGAUUACCAUUUUUUUAUAAUUAUUGAAAAAAAUCUUUUAAUUUUAAUUUUGUUUACUUUAUCUUUUUUAUGUUGUAUGUAGAACUUAAAAAACAAUCAAUCUUUUCUUGUAAAUGCAAACAAUUAGUCCCCUUGUAGACUACCAACACCUUACCUAUUGAAGGCAUGUAUUUUUUCUAUAUGGUAUUUUAUUUUCUAUUAUGAAACAUGAAAUGCAAAUUUAAUUUGAAAAUCAGUAAAUCUAUAAAUAAUUUAAAAAAAAAAAAAAAAAAAACACUAAAAUUACGAUACACAAAAUUGUGUGUCGUCUUUAUUUAUGACAUGACCUUUCUUGACAGGGACUUCCUAGAUACGCAUUGCGUGUCAUAAACACGCGCUUCGUAAGGUUACGGCACGCAAAUGCGUGUCGUCUUCCUUUAUGACAGGGCCUUCCUUGAUACGCAUUGCGUAUCAUAACCGUGCGUCGUAAAUGCGCGUCGUCUAUAGAUGACGCGCAAAAGCGCGUCGUCUAUAGAUGACGCGCAAAAGCGCGUCGUCUCUCUUUAUGACAGGGCCUUCCUUAACGCGCAUUUGCGUGUCGUCUGAGCGUUUUACGAUGCGCAAUGAGCGUCGUAAAAGGCUGUUUUUUAGUGCGAUAAAGGGUCGGCCUUGGUGCCGUAGACCCUGUCGAUAUAGUGAGGAUAACCCACCUCGCGACUUUCGAAACUCUAAACUGAAGAAGCAGAUGCCCGAACCACCGUCUCACCAAAGAUCCUGAACUAUCCAAAGUAGCAAAAUACACAUUAGACCAAGCACAAUAUCCUUCCAAGGGUAAAUUGACCAAUUUACCCUUAACUCAAUUUGGUCCAUGACUAAGGUCCAUAAUGAAAAUAUGAAAGGCCCAACACUAGGUAAGCUCUCAAGCCUAUUAAUGGUCCAAAGACCAAAAGUCUGAAGCAAAGCCCAAUAUUGGCCCAAUUUACUAAAUUGGGCCCACCUCACCAAAUGGGCCUAGAUCCAAGGUCCAUAAUAAUUAGUGAGUCCAAAUUACUCCAUCCAUAAUGUCCAGUCACAGCCCAAGCCAUAUUAGCCCAAUAACAACCCAAUCUCUUAAGGCCCAAAAUGAAAACUCAACAGAGGGAGUACGUUGGGCGUUCCCUUCUUGGUAUGCUGGGUGUACAACAAUGCUCGCGGAUUGGAAUCAGGACACAGACCCACUACGUUGGGCGUACUCCCAUUUAGGCAGGGCGUAACCUCGCUGAACUACAACUCCACAUAAGAUCUUAAUGGCUUAAGCUCUUAAGCCCAAACUUCAGAUCCAUAGACAAAAUAUGCCUAGGAUUCAUAAAGUCUCAAACUUUAUUACUUGGGACGUCCAUAAACCUCUUAACCCAAGGUCUUAAUCCAUUAAGACCUACCUAUAUCACAUAUGAGACAACCAAAGCCCUUGGGACCUCAUUUUUCUUACUCAAGACCUCUCCUAAGGUCUGAAAGGACAACUAAUCUCGACCAACUCGAAUCAUGCAUCAAGUUGAGGUUUUUGGGACAAGAAUGGUGUUAAAACUUCACAACACAAAGAUCUAUACAAUAAGAUUGUCAAGCCAGAGACUUUUUACCUCAAAAGGGCUCCAGAAGAUGAUGCCUCUCCAGAUCUACGAGCUCCAGCCGCCCCACUCCUUCUUUGACAACUUAUGUUUUCUUCUUCUUGGUUUUCCUUUGCCAAAACAAGCUUUCCAAGGUCAACACACCCAACAAUGGAGGUGGAACGGCUAUCUAGGGUUUUCUGAGGGUAAGAGAGUGUUUAUGGAGGCUAGGGUUGGAACCAUAAUGUUCCUUAUAUAGUGGUUGACCCUAAAUUUAGGGUUUCUGGAUGAUAGACGUACGUUGGGCGUACAUCCAGUACGUUGGGCGUACGUCGAGAGACCUCCGCGUUCAUUUACUCCAUUACGUUGGGCGUACCUAGCCAAACACGUGCAUGAAUGCUUGGCAUGCAUGGGACCCCUUUGCUAAACUUCCCCCUUAGGGACCAUUGUUGUCAAUAUCUUCAAUUUACAACAUAUCCUCCAUCCUAAGUUCGUUCCCGACGAACUUUAUAUCCACAUAAAGGGGCGCGAGAAGACCUACGCUUCUAGUGACACACCCCGACCCGAAAACCCAUUUCGAAUAAACCCAAUACCCAUAAAAAGACCGAAACGCCCUUACUCUUGAUCUCGGGAACCCAUAAAUAGAUAUUUUAAGAACGGAGCGUUACAGAUAUUGAUUGGGAUGUUGUACAAGCAUUUAUGGUUUUUGCUAAGGUGUUUUAUGAAGUGUGAAAUCGGUUUUCGGGGUCUUUGUAUGUAACUUUUCGUGCUUACUUUCAUGAUAUGUGUUCAUUGCAUAGCCAUAUUCAUGAAUGCAUUAAAAGUGAUGGCGGGUGAGUUCAAUGGCUAUGAAUAUGAAAGCAAAGUAUGAUAAAUAUUGGGAAAAUGCAGAAAAGAUGAAUUCUAUAUUGUAUGUAGAUGUUGUUUUUGAUCCUCGAUACAAAUUAAAAUAUGUCAAUUGGAGUUUGGAAGAAAUAUAACCUAUCGGUGAUAUUGCAUGUGACUUGAAAAAAAGUUAAAAGCCACUUUGAAUCGACUUUAUGUCUUUUAUUUGGAAAAAGAUCCUAUGCAUGCCAAAAUUCUUCUUCAAACAAGAAUCAUAACAAAAGAAAAGUUAAUGAGAAUCUUAACAUACAAGAGAAACGUAUGCUAAAAUAUAAGGAACAUUUGGAAGAUGAAAAAAAUAGGAGAAUUGAGUGAGCUUGAAAGAUAUUUGUCAGACAAUCAAGAGCCAAGUUAUGAGUCAUUUGACUUGUUGGAUUGGUGGAAGACAAAUAAAGCAAAAUAUUGUAUUUUGGGAAAAAUUGCACGCGAUGUCGUGGUUGUUGCAGUUUCUAUAGUUGCUUCGGAAUCCACAUUUAGCACAUGGGGUAGAGUUUUGGAUUUAUUUAGGAGUAGUCUUUCUCCUAAAAGAGUGCAAGCGCUUGUAUGCACACAAAAUUGGAUUUGGGGUGUGUUUAACAAAACUGCAAAAGUUUGUUAUGAAGAUGUGUUGCAAGAAAUUGAAGACCUUGAAGAAAUUCAAAAUAGUAAGAUUUCAGAUGUUAAAAAGUUUUAUAUCUCUUUGUUAUUAUUUUUUACAAAAUAUAACCUGUAUUUCAGGUUUUGCAAGCGAACUUAGUAUUUGCGCCGACAAUAUCGAUUGAAAGAUACUUUUCUUCUCAUGGUCUUAUAUUGAACUUUUGGUGUGAUGUUUUAAUAUUGAGUUUUUUGAACAAUAAACACAUAUGAAUUGGAUGACAUUUUGGAAGUGGAUAACAUUUUGGAAGUGAGCUUGCGGAUAAUGGAAAAAUAUUUGUGGUUUGUGUGUAUCGGUCUGAUGUUUGAUGUAAUGGAACAAUAUUUGUUAUUUUUAUUUACUGUUUUGGAUGGUUUUUAGGUUGCAUGAAUAGAUACAAAUGCUUGACGUAAUAGAAAGAUUUUAAAAAGUUUUAACAACUUUAAUAUGUUGUUUUUUUAACAAUUUUUUGCAGUUUUCUGGCAAUUUUGAUAGCUUUAAUGUUGUUUUUUUGGCAGAUUUUUUGACAGUUGUAACAAUAUAGCAGUUUUUUUUAACAAUUUAAUGUACUCGACAAAAAAUGAGCCUAAAAAGCCCAAACCGUGAAACUAAACCAGAACCAAACCGUUAGUAACAAUUUGAUUUUGUUUGGUUUUAAUUUUUAAACGGUUCCGCUGCGGUUUUUGAUCGAAAAAAAAAACUGUGAAGACCUCUAAGUAGAGGUUCGUUUUGUAUCAAUAUUAAUAAUAAUUUUUUAGUAGCUUCUUAUUAUCAUUAUAAAAUUAAUAGAAAAAUAAAAAGAAAUAAACACAAGUCAUGAUUACAAUAAUUUAAAAUAUAAUAUUGUUAUUUUAAAAAUAUAUUUUAAUUGCAUUUGUUUAUUUGAUAAUGAUAUCCAUCCCUUUAAUAAUGUAUACAACCGGGAUACCAGUAACUUAUGCACUUUCAAUAAAUUAACAUGCUUUCGGAAAAAAAAAUUGUAAAUUUGUAUUUGUAUGUAUAUAUACAUGCAUAUUUCCAACAAAGCAACACCGCUAACCAUGGCUUUUUCUGCACUCUCCCUUAUCCUUUUCUGCUUCAUCUUCAUAUCAUUCGCCAUCUCCGACGCCGUUGUUCCCCCCGCCGACACUUUUCGGUAUAUCAACCAAGGCGAUUUUGGAGAACUCGAUUCCGAAUAUGCCCCAACCUAUCGUCCUCUUCCUCCAUACACCUUCCCUUUCCAGCUGUGUUUCUACAACACCACCCCCGGCGUCUACACUCUCAGUCUCCGCAUGGGAACCAGACGUGAUGAAGCGGUCAUGCCAUGGGUGUGGGAUGCCAACAGAGGCAACCCAGUUGGCGAAAACGCCACCUUCUCAUUAGCCUCCGACGGAAACCUUGUACUCGCCGACGGAGAUGGACGGAUCGCAUGGCAAACCAACACCGCCAACAAGGGUGUCGUCGGUUUUGCCAUACUCUCCACCGGUAACAUCGUGCUUCGUGACUCCAAGGGUGGUUUCGUCUGGCAAAGCUUUGAUUCACCAACUGAUACUCUCUUGUUUGGUCAAUCUCUCCGGAUCCGAGGUCCGACGAAACUCGUCAGCAGAGCUUCAACGACGAACAACGUUAACGGAGCGUAUAGUUUCGUGAUAGAGCCAAAAAGAUUGGGUUUGUAUUAUAAGAACAUGCUUUACUGGGCUUCCACGUUUCCGGCGUAUCCGGAAUUGAACCAACCAAAUGUGACUAUUGUUAAUGCAACAUUCGACAUCGUGGAAACCGAAUACAAUAACGACUUUAACGCAAUUAGGUGUCAUCUUUCAAACUCUAAUGCUCAACCUUAUCUGGACAUGGACAUACUCCGAUUCAAUAACACGUUAUCCUAUAUCCGAUUAGGCAUCGAUGGGAACUUACGACUCUACUCUUAUCGUCCUCCGAAUAUCCGUUUUAGCCAAUGGAGUCUGGUGUUUAGAUUGUUCGAUAACAGGGAGACCACGAGGCAGGGUUUAUAUGAAGACGAGUGCCAACUGCCUGAACGCUGCGGCAAGUUUGGGCUGUGUGAGGACAGCCAGUGUGUUGGGUGUCCAUCGCCGGAGGGUGUUUUUGCGUGGAGCAAAAACUGCAACGUGAAGACGCCGUCUUGUAAAGCUGGUGGUUCUCGUUACUACCAGCUCAAAGGGGUCGACCAUUUCACCUCUAAAUACUCUGCGGGGACUGGGCCGAUGAAGCAGAAAGAUUGCGAGAGUAAAUGCACAAAGGACUGUAAGUGUAUGGGGUAUUUCUAUCGCACUGAUCUAUCGAGGUGUUGGAUCGCUAACGAGUUAAAAACUUUGACGAGGGUUGGGAACUCGACUCAUUUGGCGUACAUCAAAACACCCAUCCAGUAGUUGGAUAAGUCUACUAGGAAGAGGGAAUAAGGAAGAUGAAAGAUUUGAAGAAAUAGCACUGUUUACCUGCUUUUCUUAUUUUUACCUUCCAUUGUGUGUUUGUAUCGAAAUCAAAGAGUCUAUGUGGUAUACUUUUUAAGAUGUAAAACGCUUUGGUAUGCGUAACACAUUUGCAGAAGAGUAAUGUGUUUCCAGUCUACAAGAAAAAAGAUCGAUUAUUUAUUAAAUUCUACAACGACAUAAAAAAGGGUAGCUGCUAUUUGUAUACACCUCUAGGGAAUGAAAGACGAGAUCACAUCAAUCAUCGUGGUCUUUCUAUAAAUUUUAUAAGGUAGGCUAAAUUUUUUUUCUUAUUUUACCAUUUAGACGCCCUUAAUUAAUUUUAAAUUUUUUUUUUAUUGUCGCCAGAACAAAUGCUAUCAGAAAAGUUAAAAACCCUGUCGCAUGGUAUAGAUACAUGUGGGAUAUUAUUGGAAAAUAGAGAACAUAAUUUUUGGAGUUUCGGUUUUUUGGGCUAAAUUUAGGGUAGAGUGUUAUAGAUGAUUCCUGAUUGGUUAAUAAGGCUGGGGGAAUUGGAGUCACCGAAAAUGCAUUCCUUCUCCCAUCACAUAAGCGUCAUGUCAUUUUUUACCACUCAAAUGUGGUUUCUUGCCACAUCAAGUGUGUAGUGCCACACUUUUCAUUUCUUUUAUUUUUUUGUUUUUUUUAAGUAUUUUAAUUUAAUAAAACUUCCUUUUUUUAACUAUUUUAAUUUAAUAUAACUUAUAUUUUAAUAACAAAAACAUAAUUUUUCAUUACUUAAAAAUUAAAAAAAAAAAACACUAUAUUACGUUACUAAAAAAAACCCAUACAUAUGACAUUUAAAUAAUCUUAGAAACUUAAAAAACAUAAAUAAAAUAACUAAAGCAAACUACAUAAAGUCAUUCUCCGAGAACUCGUCUUCGGGGUCAUCCGGUGAAUCCAAAUUAAGGUUAAUGUUUUGAACCCUAUAAAUGUUUUCCAAGUCAUUGCGAAGAUUGUAAAAUGUUUCAGUGCAAUGUAUCUUUGCUCUCCUGUUUAUAUACUCUUCGCCACCAAUUUCUAUUGGCUAUGUCUCUGGUAUGGUUUCUUCUUCGUCAAACUCACAUAUCGCUUUUCCUUCGUCUUCAUUAAUCAUGUUAUGCAAUAUAAUACAUGUAUAUAUGAUUUCUUGAAGUUUUUCCUUGCCCAAAUAAGUUGUUGGUUUUUUCAAUAUGAACCACCGUUUCUUCAGAGCUCCAAAGGCACGCUCAACAUCUUUCUUAGCUCUUUCUUGAGCUCUCUUAAAUUUCUUUUGUCAAGAACCAUGUGGAGCUGAAAACGGUUUAACAAACACAGCGUACUUAGGAUAGAUUCCAUCGACCAGAUAAUAACCAUACUUAUAUGGCGUUCCACGCACUUGAAAAGAAGAAUCUGGUGCGAAUCUAUCGUAUAUGUUGUUAAAUAUUAAUGAACGGUUAAGAACGUUGAUGUCGUUAAUCGAACCAAGAGAACCAAAAAAAGCAUGCCAAAUCCACAUAUCUUGUGAUACAACUGCUUCAAGUAUGACCGUUGGGUGACCAUGAUCACCUCGGGUAAAUUGCCCAUAAUAUGUUGUAGGGCAAUUUUCCCAUGCCCAAUGGAGACAAUCUAAGCUUCCUAGCAUUUCAAGAAACCCAUGCACACUAGCAUGAUGAGCUUGCAAUUGCAGGAUGUCAUUACGUGUAGGCUUACGUAAAUAUUUUGGACCAGAAAACUGAAUCAUAGUUUUGCAGAAAAAAUGGAGACUGUCUCGUGCUAUCCUAGCAGACAUCCUAAAACUUUCGUCUAGCGCAUCAGGCGGAAUUCCAUAUGCUAACUGACGAAGUGUGCCCGUGCAUUUUUGUAAGAGAGUGAAACCGAGUGUACCUCUAGUAUCGUAGCGUUGUUGGAAAAAACUACACUCCCUCGUUACAUCGUCAACUAUACGUUCGAAUAAACCUUUGAGCAUUCUGAAGCGCCUACGAAAUACCUUGGUAAGUGGCAUUCUCUGCAAAAUAUUCUUGCACCAGACGUUGGUUGACUUCUUCACGAUUUCUGUAAAUAUAUCUUCGUGUUCUCUGUUGAGAACUUACAGCUGCGUUGUUACAUACAACGUUGUAUGUUUGUUCCGCCAUUUAAACACACGCAAUAGCGAUAUCAAAAAUAGUCUGAAAUUCUUCAGAAGAUGAAGAAGAUGACAUUUUUGAGAGAGUGGUGAUUUAAAUUUUUUUUUUUUUUUUUGAGAGAGAAAGGAGAUUGUGUUGUAAAAAAAAAGAUUAAGUUGAUAUGUAUAUAUAUAGAAAAGAAAAAGCAAAAGAAAAAAAAUUAAAUGCUCAACGUCAAUCCUUCCCAACUUCCCUCAACCAAUCAGAACACACGGUCUUAGAGAACCGCACUAUGGCCAAGAUUGUACUAGACCGCGGUCUGAAAACGGUGUUUCAAUACUACGUGGCAUAAAGUGCGGUCUGGAACGGUACCCGCACCGUGAAGCCUAAGUAAAGCAAACGGAUUUUGACGGACACACGAACCCGCGAUACUAGUAACUAUUACCUUUUCAUUAAAUUAACAUUCUUUCAUAAAGAGAAUAUAAAAGUCUAUAUAUAUGCAUAUAUAUCCGACAAGGCAACACAGUAACCAUGGUUUCUUCUCUCUCCCUUAUCCUUUGCUGCUUCAUCUUCAUAUCGUUAUCCAUCUCCAACGCCGUUGUUCCUCCCGCCGAUACUUUUCGGUAUGUCAAUCAAGGCGAUUUUGGAGAAUUCGAUUCCGAAUACGCCCCAAACUAUCGUCCUCUUCCUCCAUUCACCUACCCUUUCCAGCUCUGUUUCUACAACACCACCCCCGGUGUCUACACUCUCAGUCUCCGCAUGGGAACCAGACGUGAUCAAGCAGUCAUGCCAUGGGUGUGGGAUGCCAACAGAGGCAACCCAGUUGGCGAAAACGCCACCUUCUCAUUAGCCUCCGACGGAAACCUUGUACUCGCCGACGGAGAUGGACGGAUCGCAUGGCAAACCAACACCGCCAACAAGGGUGUCGUCGGUUUUGCCAUACUCUCCGAUGGUAACAUCGUGCUUCGUGACUCCAAGGGUGGUUUCGUCUGGCAAAGCUUUGAUUCACCGACUGAUACACUCUUGUUUGGUCAAUCUCUCCGGGUCGGAGGUCCGACGAAGCUCGUCAGCAGAGCUUCAGCGACGAACAACGUUAACGGAGCGUAUAGUUUCGUGAUAGAGCCAAAAAGAUUGGGUUUGUAUUAUAAGAACAUGCUUUACUGGGCUUCCACGUUUCCCGAAGUGAACGACCGAAAUGUGAAUAUUGUCAAUGCAACAUUGGAAAUCCAGAGAACCGAAUACGAAGAAAACUACUUUAAUGCGCUAAAGUGUCGUCUUUCAAACUCUGAAGCUCAACCUAAUUUGGACUUCGACAUACUCCGAUACAAUAGCACGUUAUCAUAUCUCCGAUUAGGCAUCGAUGGGAACUUAAGACUCUACUCUUAUCGUCAGAAUGUCCGUUUCAGCUCAUGGAGUCUGAUGUUCACUUUGUUCACUAGAAGGGUGAGCGAGAGGGGAGAGAUAGUUGAAGACGAGUGCCAACAGCCUGAUCGCUGCGGCAAGUUUGGGCUGUGUGAGGACAGCCAGUGCGUUGGGUGUCCGUCGCCGGAGGGUGUUUUUGCGUGGAGCAAAACUUGCAACGUGAAGACGCCAUCUUGUAAAGCGGGUGGUUCUCGUUACUACCAGCUCAAAGGGGUCGACCAUUUCACUUCUAAAUACUCUCCGGGGAGUGGGCCGAUGAAACAGAAAGAUUGCGAGAGUAAAUGCACAAAGGACUGUAAGUGUAUGGGGUAUUUCUAUCGCACUGAUCUAUCGAGGUGUUGGAUCGCUUACGAAUUGAAAACUUUGACGAGGGUUGGGAACUCGACUCAUUUGGCUUAUAUCAAAACACCUAUUCAGUAGCUCUGUGGUGCACGAGAAACCGGGAACAAGGAAGGUGCACUGUAUAGUUGCUUUUAGUAAAUUCUGACCUUCCAUUGUGUCUUUGUAUCGAAAUCAAAUAAUAUUCUUGUUUUGAUUUAUAAAAAAUUAGGUUAUAUGAGAUAACCGUUAUAUAUAAAUAAUAUUUAAAAUGAUUAAAAAAAUAUUUUUAUUAAAUUCAUCAUUUACAACCAACUUAUAAAAUAUAGCAGAUGUGCAAGAAAAAGAAAAAAACUUUUUUGAAAUAGUAUGUAAGAUGGUGCCGUAAAUAAUGCGAAUUAAUUUAAUAGAAGGAUUUGACUUAUAAUGGUAAGUUUAUCAUAAGAUUUAUGCUUAAAAUUUGAUUUUUUUUUUUUUAAAUCUAGAUGCAACCUUGGGAGGUUGUAAUUAAUUUACGACGGAAUAACAAAUCUAUUUAUAUAAACAAAAUGUAUUUUUAUAAACAAAACAUAAGUUUAUUAUUAUUAAUUUUAUCUUUUUUUAUCCACAUUGUGUCA
rnacentral:lncRNA from 1 species